rnacentral:miRNA from 1 species
CGAACAACUCUAUUCAGACAACACU